rnacentral:rRNA from 1 species
GUCGAGCGAACAGACGAGGAGCUUGCUCCUCUGACGUUAGCGGCGGACGGGUGAGUAACACGUGGAUAACCUACCUAUAAGACUGGGAUAACUUCGGGAAACCGGAGCUAAUACCGGAUAAUAUAUUGAACCGCAUGGUUCAAUAGUGAAAGACGGUUUUGCUGUCACUUAUAGAUGGAUCCGCGCCGCAUUAGCUAGUUGGUAGGGUAACGGCUUACCAAGGCGACGAUGCGUAGCCGACCUGAGAGGGUGAUCGGCCACACUGGAACUGAGACACGGUCCAGACUCCUACGGGAGGCAGCAGUAGGGAAUCUUCCGCAAUGGGCGAAAGCCUGACGGAGCAACGCCGCGUGAGUGAUGAAGGUCUUCGGAUCGUAAAACUCUGUUAUUAGGGAAGAACAAAUGUGUAAGUAACUAUGCACGUCUUGACGGUACCUAAUCAGAAAGCCACGGCUAACUACGUGCCAGCAGCCGCGGUAAUACGUAGGUGGCAAGCGUUAUCCGGAAUUAUUGGGCGUAAAGCGCGCGUAGGCGGUUUUUUAAGUCUGAUGUGAAAGCCCACGGCUCAACCGUGGAGGGUCAUUGGAAACUGGAAAACUUGAGUGCAGAAGAGGAAAGUGGAAUUCCAUGUGUAGCGGUGAAAUGCGCAGAGAUAUGGAGGAACACCAGUGGCGAA